rnacentral:rRNA from 1 species
UUGAACGCUGGCGGCAGGCCUAACACAUGCAAGUCGAACGGUAACAGGAAGAAGCUUGCUUCUUUGCUGACGAGUGGCGGACGGGUGAGUAAUGUCUGGGAAACUGCCUGAUGGAGGGGGAUAACUACUGGAAGCGGUAGCUAAUACCGCAUAACGUCGCAAGACCAAAGAGGGGGACCUUCGGGCCUCUUGCCAUCGGAUGUGCCCAGAUGGGAUUAGCUAGUAGGUGGGGUAACGGCUCACCUAGGCGACGAUCCCUAGCUGGUCUGAGAGGAUGACCAGCCACACUGGAACUGAGACACGGUCCAGACUCCUACGGGAGGCAGCAGUGGGGAAUAUUGCACAAUGGGCGCAAGCCUGAUGCAGCCAUGCCGCGUGUAUGAAGAAGGCCUUCGGGUUGUAAAGUACUUUCAGCGGGGAGGAAGGGAGUAAAGUUAAUACCUUUGCUCAUUGACGUUACCCGCAGAAGAAGCACCGGCUAACUCCGUG